rnacentral:rRNA from 1 species
UACGUAGGGGGCUAGCGUUGUCCGGAUUUAUUGGGCGUAAAGAGCGUGUAGGCGGCCAGACAGGUCCGUUGUGAAAACUCGAGGCUCAACCUCGAGAUGUCGAUGGAAACCGUCUGGCUAGAGUCCGGAAGAGGAGUGUGGAAUUCCUGGUGUAGCGGUGAAAUUCGUAGAUAUUAGGAAGAACACCGGUGGCGAAGGCGGGUUGCUGGGCUGACACUGACGCCGAUGCGCGAAAGCCAGGGGAGCGAACGGG